UGGGAGGCUGAGGCAGGAGGAUUGCAAGUUCAAAGCUAGCCUCAGCAAAAGUGAGGUGCUAAGCAACUCAGUGAGACCCUGUCUCUAAAUAAAGUACAAAAUAGGACUGGGAUGUGGCUCAGUGGUCAAGGGUCCCUGAGUUCAAUCCCUGGCACCACCCGUCCUCCAAAAAACGAAUAACUGCUGGGGUGUUGUUUUAUUUCUUUUCACAUUCUAGCUCUGUGCCCCUACAGGUUUUCUUAAAAAUUAUUUGUUUUUCUGUGGUUAAGGUUAAGAUUACCUUUUAAUAUCUUGGAAUAUCUUCUUAGUCUCAGGUUUUGAAUCCUUUAUUUGACUGACUAAUGUCUAAUCAGGAUUCAUAAAUAUGUUUGAUUUACUAGACUAACAUGUUGUGAGGAAAAGGAAGAUGUUAUUGUGGAGAAUGUAUACUUUACAGAAUUCUAGAAUUAGAGCUCAGAGUGACUGUUGAGGAAAUGAGAGCAACAGUGGUGAGAUGGCUUCUAGAAGACCUGAAAACCGAUCAUCUGGUUUUCUUAGUUAUUUCCCUACUAAAUUAUACAAUACUGUGCUUUAUUUAAAAAUUUUACUAAGACUGGUUUUAAAAAGUGAAUUUGGGUCAGAUUUUUAGAGUAAGUACCUGUGUUAGUCAGCUUUCCAUUGCUUUGACAAAAUACCUGAGAAAAUCAACUUAAAGGAGGAAACAUUUAUUUUGGCUUAUGGUUUCAGCCCAUGGUUACUUGUCUCUAUUGUUUCUGGGCCUGUGGUGAGAUAGUACAUCAUGGUGGCAGAAAAGCUGAGGUAAAAUAUAUAGCCCCCAAUAACCUACUAAGCCCCACCUUCUAAAGUUUCCAUUGCCUCCCAAUAGCCCAUUAAGAUAUAAAUUCAUCACAGCGGAGCACAACAGACACUAGUAUGGCAAUAUGUAAAUCAAUGGAUGUGUAACUGAUGUGAUUCUGCAAUCUGUGUAUGGGGUGAAGGUGGGAGUUCAUAACCCACUUGAAUCAAAGUGUGGAAUAUGAUA
rnacentral:lncRNA from 1 species